UAUAUUUCGAUGAUGUGACCAAGUAAGUAAAGGAAGUGUUACAGAGAGUAUAGUAAUUGCUGAGAGCUAUACCACCGAUUCUUUACCGAAACCUACCACGGAGAAGUUAUGAAAACAUAACCGGUUCGUUUCCGUUACAAAACGCUAGAGAGUUUUAUUUAUUUUAUAAAACUAAAAAUAGGUGGUACCACGUUUGCUAAAGCAUAAAGACGUCCUUAGU
rnacentral:ncRNA from 1 species